rfam:Felis catus isolate Cinnamon breed Abyssinian chromosome D1, whole genome shotgun sequence.
GCCUGGGUGGCUCAGUCAGUUAAGCAUCUGACUUAGGCUCAGGUCAUGAUCUCAUGGUUUGUGGGUUCAAGUCCCACAUAGGGCU